rnacentral:rRNA from 1 species
UACGAAGGGGGCUAGCGUUACUCGGAAUUACUGGGCGUAAAGCGUGCGUAGGUGGUUUGUUAAGUCUGAUGUGAAAGCCCUGGGCUCAACCUGGGAAUUGCAUUGGAUACUGGCAGGCUAGAGUGCGGUAGAGGAUGGCGGAAUUCCCGGUGUAGCAGUGAAAUGCGUAGAGAUCGGGAGGAACAUCUGUGGCGAAGGCGGCCAUCUGGACCAGCACUGACACUGAGGCACGAAAGCGUGGGGAGCAAACAGG